UACGUAGGGUGCGAGCGUUAAUCGGAAUUACUGGGCGUAAAGCGUGCGCAGGCGGUCUGUUAAGACCGAUGUGAAAUCCCCGGGCUUAACCUGGGAACUGCAUUGGUGACUGGCAGGCUUUGAGUGUGGUAGAGGGAGGUAGAAUUCCACGUGUAGCAGUGAAAUGCGUAGAGAUGUGGAGGAAUACCGAUGGCGAAGGCAGCCUCCUGGGCCAACACUGACGCUCAUGCACGAAAGCGUGGGGAGCAAACAGG
rnacentral:rRNA from 1 species